rnacentral:rRNA from 1 species
GAUGAACGCUGGCGGCGUGCCUAAUACAUGCAAGUCGAGCGAACGGACGAGAAGCUUGCUUCUCUGAUGUUAGCGGCGGACGGGUGAGUAACACGUGGAUAACCUACCUAUAAGACUGGGAUAACUUCGGGAAACCGGAGCUAGUACCGGAUAAUAUUUUGAACCGCAUGGUUCAAAAGUGAAAGACGGUCUUGCUGUCACUUAUAGAUGGAUCCGCGCUGCAUUAGCUAGUUGGUGAGGUAACGGCUUACCAAGGCAACGAUGCAUAGCCGACCUGAGAGGGUGAUCGGCCACACUGGAACUGAGACACGGUCCAGACCCCUACGGGAGGCAGCAGUAGGGAAUCUUCCGCAAUGGGCGAAAGCCUGACGGAGCAACGCCGCGUGAGUGAUGAAGGUCUUCGGAUCGUAAAACUCUGUUAUUAGGGAAGAACAUAUGUGUAAGUAACUGUGCACAUCUUGACGGUACCUAAUCAGAAAGCCACGGCUAACUACGUG